ensembl:lncRNA
AGCACUUCUCAAACUUUUCCAUCACUAUUCUCCAUAUCUUCACUUUUUACUUUCUUAUAUGACAAAUUAACUUAGCGUCUUUAGCAUAGCACUGGGCCUUGUCAGGAACUCGAAGCAGGCAGACGGCGAACCCACAUGCACAGCACGGAGGCGAUAUUAUAAUCCACAAAAGGGUUUAUUCUCAAAGGCACGGUCAGACGGUCCAGGUCAUACACAGAAAAGGCUCGGCGAAAGUACAGACAGGGAACAGGCAAAAACUCACGGUAAGUAGGUAAUCCAAGGUCGGGCAGGAUACAUGAUACGGGCAGGAACAGGACACGGGAAACACGAACACUCAGGGAACUAGAAUACGACAAUCUGGCAUCGAACUAAGGACACAGGUGGUGGUUAAAUACAGUGAUUUGAUUAACUGAUUACCGACAGGUGUGGGUAAUGAACUAGGGAGAACAGAACUGAUAACAGGAAGUAACGCAAGAACGGAAACAGAAACUGGGAGUGCUACCAAAAUAAAACCGGAACUGGAACCUGGAACCAAAAUAAGACAAGGAGGACAUGACGUGAAAACAGGGAACAACUAGAGACAAAGACACUGAUCAUGACAGUACCCCCCCCCCCUAUGGCGCCUUCCACGGCGCCUACGGAAGCCUCCCCCCCCAAACCAGGGCGGGCGGAGGGGGGUCCCAGGCGGAGGGACCGAAUCCCCACCCCUCAAGGUACAUGAGCAGGGUGGGUGGAGGGAGGACCGGAGGAGGGCCAAAGCAAGAGUCCACAAACACUACAAAAGUCCAUGACCAAGAAAACAUGAAGUUCAGGGAUUCCCUCACGGAGGGUGAUGGCGUGGCGAGACCCUGCCCAGCAGCCGCUGAGCCAGGAUGGCACUCUUAGUGCCCUUGAGCUGGGACGAUGUCCCCGGGGACCACCCCGCAUGGCAGCGUCCUCCAGGCGGACGCUGAUCCAGGCGGUUGAGGAGUCGAGGCGGACGGCGCCGCAGGAGGCAGCGCCAUCCCAGCAGCAGGAUGCGCCGAGGGCGAGGCCACCAGUCCGGCAGCAAAGGCAGAGACGAGGCAGGAACCGAAGCAGAUGCGGCCGGAGCCGGACCGCCAGGGACCGAUGCAGAUGCGGCCGGAGCCGGACCGCCAGGAACCGAUGCAGAUGCGGCCGGAGCCGGGCCGCCAGGAACCGAUGCAGAUGCGGCCGGAGCCGGACCGCCAGGAACCGAUGCAGAUGCGGCCGGAGCCGGACCGCCAGGAACCGAUGCUGGUGCGGCCGGAGCCGGGACGGGAGCGGCCCCCUCCUGGAGGUCGGCAGGAGCUACGACGGGAGCGACCCCCUCCUGGAGGUCGGCAGGAGCUACGACGGGAGCGACCCCCUCCUGGAGGUCGGCAGGAACUACGACGGGAGCGACCCCCUCCUGGAGGUCGGCAGGAACUACGGCGGGAGCGACCCCCUCCUGGAGGUCGGCAGGAACUGCGACGGGCGCGACCCCCUCCUGGAGGUCGGCAGGAACUGCGGCGGGCGCGACCCCCUCCUGGGGGUCCGCCGGGACUGCGGCGGGCGCGACCCCCUCCUGGGGGUCCGCCGGGACUGCGGGGGGCGCGACCCCCUCCUGGGGGUCCGCCGGGACUGCGGGGGGCGCGACCCCCUCCUGGGGGUCCGCCGGGACUGCGGCGGGCGCGACCCCCCUCCUGGGGGUCCGCCGGACUGCGGCGGGCGCGACCCCCCUCCUGGAGGUGCGCAGGACUGCGGCUGGCGCCACCUCCUCCUGGAAGGUGGCGCAGAACCUUGCGGCUGGCGCAUACCUCCUCCUGGAGGGUGCGCAGGAACUGCGGCUGGCGCAACCUCCUCCUGGAGGUGCGCAGGAACUGCGGCUGGCGCAACCUCCUCCUGGAGGUGCGCAGGAACUGCGGCUGGCGCAACCUCCUCCUGGAGGUGCGCAGGAACUGCGGCUGGCGCAACCUCCUCCUGGAGGUGCGCAGGAACUGCGGCUGGCGCAACCUCCUCCUGGAGGUGCGCAGGAACUGCGGCUUGGCGCAACCUCCUCCUGGAGGUGCGCAGGAACUGCGGCUGGCGCAACCUCCUCCUGGAGGUGCGCAGGAACUGCGGCUGGCGCAACCUCCUCCUGGAGGUGCGCAGGAACUGCGGCUGGCGCAACCUCCUCCUGGAGGUGCGCAGGAACUGCGGCUGGCGCAACCUCCUCCUGGAGGUGCGCAGGAACUGCGGCUGGUGCAAACCUCCUCCUGGAGGUGCGCAGGGAACUGCGGCUGGCGCAACCUCCUCCUGGAGGUGCGCAGGAACUGCGGCUGGCGCAACCUCCUCCUGGAGGUGCGCAGGAACUGCGGCUGGCGCGACCUCCUCCUGGAGGUGCGCAGGAACUGCGACUGGCGCGACCUCCUCCUGGAGGUGCGCAGGAACUGCGACUAGCGCGACCUCCUCCUGGAGGUGCGCAGGAACUGCGGCUGGCGCGACCUCCUCCUGGAGGUGCGCAGGAACUGCGACUGGCGCGACCUCCUCCUGGAGGUGCGCAGGAACUGCAGGUGCUGCCUCCUCCUGGAGGCCGGCGGGCGCUGCGGCUCCAAGGGUGACGGGGACUGGAACGACCGCUACAGGGCCGACGGGAACGGGGAAUGGAACGACCGCUACAGGGCCGACAGGAACGGGGUCAGAGACAGGGGUGACCUCUACUUGGCCUACGGGAACGCCCUCUACUUGGCCUACGGGAACGCCCUCUACUUGGCCUACGGGAACGCCCUCAACUUGGUCGACAGGGACAGGAGCUGGAACGACCUCAACUUGGUCGACAGGGACAGGAACUGGAACGACCUCAACUUGGUCGACAGGGACAGGAACUGGAACGACCUCAACAUGGCCGACAGGAACAGGAACUGGAACGACCUCAACUUGGUCGACAAGAACUGGAACGACCUCAACAUGGCCGACAGGAACUGGAACGACCUCAACAUGGCCGACAGGAACUGGAACGACCUCAACAUGGCCGACAGGAACUGGAACGACCGCAACAUGGCCGACAGGAACUGGAACGACCGCAACAUGGCCGACAGGAACUGGAACGGCCUCUGCUUGGCCGACAGGAACUAGAACGGCGUCCUCCUCUGAGGAGCCGACAGGAACUGGAACUAGAACGGCCUCAAUAUGGCCGACAGGGACUAGAACGGCGUCCUCCUCUGAGGAGCCGACAGGAACUGGAACUAGAACGGCCUCAAUAUGGCCGACGGGAACAGGAACGGCGUCCUCCUCUGAGGAGCCGACAGGAACUAGAACGGCCGCAACAUGGCCGACAGGGACUGGAACGGCCGCAACAUGGCCGACAGGGACUGGAGCGGCGUCCCCUCCGGAGCUGGCAUGACAGCUUACAGCUGCCGAGCUCGACGGGGGAGACGUCGGGCCUGAUUGGGUGGGGUUAACAGUCGUCAGACGGACAGCGCCCUCUGACGGGGACAAGGACGGAACUGGGGUCAGGGCAACACACGACUGAUCUGGGGUCUGGGCAACACACGGCUGAUCAGGGGUCUGGGCAACACACGGCUGAUCAGGGGUCUGGGCAACACACGGCUGAUCUGGGGUCUGGGCAACACACGGCUGAUCUGGGGUCUGGGCAACACACGGCUGAUCUGGGGUCUGGGCAACACACGGCUGAUCUGGGGUCUGGGCAACACACGGCUGAUCUGGGGUCUGGACUAGGUUUGACUGGGCUGGGGCCUGGAGACGACAGGGCUGCACCGGGGCAUGAGUAACACACGGUUUAACUGGGGCCUGGGCAACGCGCGGCUGAACUGGGGUCUGGGCAGCGCGCGGCUGACUUGGAAACUGAGCAGCGCGCGGCUGACUUGGAAACUGAGCAGCGCGCGGCUGACUUGGAAACUGAGCAGCGCGCGGCUGACUUGGGAACUGAGCAGCGCGCGGCUGACUUGGAGGCUGAGCAGCGCGCGGCUGACUUGGAGGCUGAGCAGCGCGCGGCUGACUUGGAGGCUGAGCAGCGCGCGGCUGACUUGGAGGCUGAGCAGCGCGCGGCUGAACUGGAGACUGAGCAGCGCGCGGCUGAACUGGAGACUGAGCAGCGCGCGGCUGAACUGGAGACUGAGCAGCGCGCGGCUGAACUGGAGACUGAGCAGCGCGCGGCUGACUUGGAGGCUGAGCAGCGCGCGGCGGAACUGGAGACUGAGGGCCGCGUGAGAGCAGGAAAUCCUCCCAGGGAAAUAACCAUGGAGCUGGGCAGGUUGGUGCAGGCACGACGAUCCGACGGGGCGGGGAGGAGGAAACCGAAACCAUAGGCGGUGCGACUGGCGCUGGCGUGGUACAGAGCGUGUCGCUUAAUUCAUCAAACUUCGCGCAUAGUCGCUCGUAGAGGCGAUGAACGCUGGGGUGAUCUAACGCGGUGUCAUCGUCCUCCAGCGUCACUAUUGCCACCUCUACGGCGCUGCGCUGAUCCUCCGAGUUACUAGCCCGUCGGUAAUCCUCCGCAAGGAUCUCGAAAUACUUAUGUAGGUCGCUGGGUAGCUCGGCGCAGGUAAACUCCAUACUUCCGCGGGAGAGUUAUAUUCGCCGUAAAAAAAACAAGGAAAAACAGUCACUGACCUGACCGGAGGCUAAGUGCUGGCUGGGUCCAAGUCAUGCCAGAUUGUUCUGUCAGGAACUCGAAGCAGGCAGACGGCGAACCCACAUGCACAGCACGGAGGCGAUAUUAUAAUCCACAAAAGGGUUUAUUCUCAAAGGCACGGUCAGACGGUCCAGGUCAUACACAGAAAAGGCUCGGCGAAAGUACAGACAGGGAACAGGCAAAAACUCACGGUAAGUAGGUAAUCCAAGGUCGGGCAGGAUACAUGAUACGGGCAGGAACAGGACACGGGAAACACGAACACUCAGGGAACUAGAAUACGACAAUCUGGCAUCGAACUAAGGACACAGGUGGUGGUUAAAUACAGUGAUUUGAUUAACUGAUUACCGACAGGUGUGGGUAAUGAACUAGGGAGAACAGAACUGAUAACAGGAAGUAACGCAAGAACGGAAACAGAAACUGGGAGUGCUACCAAAAUAAAACCGGAACUGGAACCUGGAACCA